rnacentral:rRNA from 1 species
AUUGAACGCUGGCGGCAGGCCUAACACAUGCAAGUCGAACGAGUGGCGGACGGGUGAGUAAUGUCUGGGAAACUGCCUGCUGGAGGGGGAUAACUACUGGAAACGUUAGCUAAUACCGCAUACCAUCAGAUGUGCCCAGAUGGGAUUAGCUUUUUGGUGGGUUAACGGCUCACCAAGGCUACGAUCCCUAGCUGGUCUGAGAGGAUGCCCAUCAACACUGGAGCUGAGAGACGGUCAAGACUCCUACGGGAGGCAGCAGUGGGGAAGAUUGCACAAUGGGCGCAAGCCUGAUGCAGCCAUGUCGCGUGUAUGAAGAAGGCCUUCGGGUUGUAAAGUACUUUCAGCGGGGAGGCGUUACACGCAGAAGAAGCACCUGCUAACUCCGUGCAAGCAGCCGCGGUAAUAC